rnacentral:tRNA from 1 species
GCUAUGGUGAUUCAGUGGAAGAAUUCUCCACUUCCAUAAGGGAAACUUGGGUUCAAUUCCCAGCCAAUGCA